AAUGUCCUACCAACUGGAGCCCUGUGUGCGGGACUGACAGAGUAACUUAUAAGAACGAGUGUGAACUCUGUCGUGCCAACCUGCGGAAAACCUCUAAAGUCAGGAUCCGGUCCCGUUAUCAGUGUUGAUCUGAAAAUGGAAAGUAAUCUGCCCGCAACAGUUCAACUGAUUUCUCCUACAUUGUUUUAUGGAUGGGAAUGUAACGACUGUCGUGCAACACUUGCCCUACCUGCUUGCUCAUCUGCUUGGAGUCCAUGGGGAAGAAUCUAGAAGGCCAACUGCAUAGUCUGUAAUCUGGAGACUACUGCUUAUUCAUAAUCUGUACCCUGCCGCUUGAGUGUAUUCUGUACACCGCAUCAAUAAAGUAAUACAGCAUUCA